rnacentral:rRNA from 1 species
UGUUUCGGCUAGGGGGUCAUCCCGACUUACCAACCCGAUGCAAACUACGAAUACCGAAGAAUGUUAUCACGGGAGACACACGGCGGGUGCUAACGUCCGUCGUGAAGAGGGAAACAACCCAGACCGCCAGCUAAGGUCCCAAAGUCAUGGUUAAGUGGGAAACGAUGUGGGAAGGCCCAGACAGCCAGGAUGUUGGCUUAGAAGCAGCCAUCAUUUAAAGAAAGCGUAAUAGCUCACUGGUCGAGUCGGCCUGCGCGGAAGAUGUAACGGGGCUAAACCAUGCACCGAAGCUGCGGCAGCGACACUAUGUGUUGUUGGGUAGGGGAGCGUUCUGUAAGCCGUUGAAGGUGGCCUGUGAGGGUUGCUGGAGGUAUCAGAAGUGCGAAUGCUGACAUAAGUAACGAUAAUGCGGGUGAAAAACCCGCACGCCGGAAGACCAAGGGUUCCUGUCCAACGUUAAUCGGGGCAGGGUGAGUCGACCCCUAAGGCGAGGCCGAAAGGCGUAGUCGAUGGGAAACAGGUUAAUAUUCCUGUACUCGGUGUUACUGCGAAGGGGGGACGGAGAAGGCUAUGUUGGCCGGGCGACGGUUGUCCCGGUUUAAGCAUGUAGGCGGAUG